rnacentral:rRNA from 1 species
GAUGAACGCUGGCGGCGUGCCUAAUACAUGCAAGUCGAGCGAACAGAUGAGGAGCUUGCUCCUCUGACGUUAGCGGCGGACGGGUGAGUAACACGUGGAUAACCUACCUAUAAGACUGGGAUAACUUCGGGAAACCGGAGCUAAUACCGGAUAAUAUAUUGAACCGCAUGGUUCAAUAGUGAAAGACGGUUUUGCUGUCACUUAUAGAUGGAUCCGCGCCGCAUUAGCUAGUUGGUAAGGUAACGGCUUACCAAGGCGACGAUGCGUAGCCGACCUGAGAGGGUGAUCGGCCACACUGGAACUGAGACACGGUCCAGACUCCUACGGGAGGCAGCAGUAGGGAAUCUUCCGCAAUGGGCGAAAGCCUGACGGAGCAACGCCGCGUGAGUGAUGAAGGUCUUCGGAUCGUAAAACUCUGUUAUUAGGGAAGAACAGAUGUGUAAGUAACUAUGCACGUCUUGACGGUACCUAAUCAGAAAGCCACGGCUAACUACGUG